rnacentral:lncRNA from 1 species
GCUGGAGAAAUGUCACUGCUAGAGAACAGAAGACUAUUAUUCCAAAGGGUAUUUGAGACUGACUGAAUCAGGUCUGGAACAUUAUUGAAAUGGCUCAUAGAUGGAAGGGACUUGCCUUGUCGCUGAUGAGACUUUCGACUUGGACUUUUGAGUCAAUGCUGGAAUGAGUUAAGACUUUGGGGAACUGUUGGAAGGGUGUGAUUGUGUUUUGAAUUGUGAGGACAUGAGAUUUUGAAGAGGCUAAUGGCAGCGUCCCCACCUAAAUCUCUUCUUGAAUUGUAGUUCCCAUAAUCCCCACGUGUCGUGGGGUGGAGCCGGUGGAGAUAAUUGAAUCAUGGGAACACUUUCCCCCAUGCUGUUAUUGUGAUUGUGAAUUCUCACGAGAUCUGAUGGUUGUAUAAACGCCUUCCCUCUUCGCUGGGCACUCAUUUUUCUCCUUCCUGCCACCAUGUGAAGAAGGAUAUGCUUGCUUCUUGUGCCAUGAUUACAAGAACACACUCAGAAAUUUUCUCAACACAGUUUCUAUGCAGAGAAGAGAUGUGGGACAGAUUUGAACUGCUGUCAUAUUUGUAUGAACCCAAGACAUUUUCCAAGACCAAGAGGGAUAAAGACAGCAAUUUCUAUGACUGGCAUUUUACGUGCAUGCACUGUUUCCAAGUGUUCUUGUGUUCUGUGCCUUAAACAUUCUGUGUUGCAACUUUAUGAAUUGAAUUAAAGAUAAUCCCAAGCCCCCAAUUGUCUCAAAAAGUGAAAAAGUAAAUGUUAUAGAAAGAAAAGCGGGAAAAACUUUAAGCAUGAAAUAAAAGAUGGGUUGUGAUAAAAGAGGACUGAAGAAGGAAAAGGAAUGAAAGGUUCUGCCAUCCUUCAUGGCAGCCCACUCCACUUGGUAUGAGAUACUGCUCCCUUGGCUGAAAGUUAACUGCUGUACUCCCUCCACUUUCUAUAAAUGACUCCCUGUGCCUUUCCUUCACCACACAACUCACACUCUCUUCCUUCCUAGUGAGUCCACUAAGGCUUCACUGCAUUAUUACAUUUAUUUCAUUUAGGAAAAACUGACUUUAUUUUCCUUCAAAUUGUUUUUUAUUGUUUAUAUGAGCUUGGUUUUAUUGUCAUUCUAUUUUUCUCCAUGAAAAUAGAGAAAAAUAGGGUCGAAAGGUUAGGUUGGGUGGAAAGGAAUUAUAUUUUUUCUCACUAAAAUUGAUGUAAAUAUCGUUUUCAAUUGAAUGAUUUUACACAGUGGCACAGUUUCAGGUAUGUUGCUAAGCAGGAAAGUUGUUAACCAAAGCAUGAAUGUAUUAAGGAGAUGUAUGCAGAAUGACAUGCAAGGUUAUCUAUGAUUGCUGAGUGAGAAAGAGCAAGUUGCUGAGUAUUAUAUAAGUAUGAUCUCACUUUUGUAAAAAAAAAAAAAAAAAAAGGCCUGGACUGAUCUGAAAUGACCCUAUUAAUAACAAUUAUGUCCAGGUCUGUAUUGCAUACUUGUCAUUCAUUACAGGAUCUUGAGACACAAUGCAAAGGAUCACAUCGCAGCUCUGUAACUUGUUAACUAUAAGAUUUUGAGUAACAUAACACCUUACUCCUUAAAAUUGCUUAAAAAAAAUCUGAACAUCAGGAAUAUUCUACUUCACAGGGUCGUUGUGAUAAUUAAAUGUAGUAAUCAAUGACAAUAGUGCCAGAUACAGUAGAUAGCCUACACUUUGCAGCUACUAUUUCUAUCUAUCAUCCAUCUAUUAAUAUAUAUCAUCUAUCUUUAACUUAUCAUCUAUCUUGUUCCAGUUUUUUAAAAUGAACAUGUAUUAACUUUGUAAAAAAUUAAGGCUAUAAGAUGUGCUGAGCUUUUGGAAUAGAUUUUCCUGUAC